UACAGAGGGUGCAAGCGUUGUUCGGAAUUACUGGGCGUAAAGGGCGUGUAGGCGGUUUAGCAAGUCAGAUGUGAAAUCCCGGGGCUUAACUCCGGAAGUGCAUUUGAAACUGCUAGGCUAGAGUGCAGUAGAGGAUGGUGGAAUUCCCAGUGGAGAGGUGAAAUUCGUAGAUAUCGGGAGGAACACCGGUGGCGAAGGCGGCCUUCUGGACGGAUACUGACGCUGAUACGCGAAAGCGUGGGGAGCAAACAGG
rnacentral:rRNA from 1 species